CACUGUAAAAUAUGGCCCAUAUUGAGGGCCUGUACUGUGUACUGAGGAGUGGGCAUUUAAACCAAUCUCCAUUGUAACAGAACUGAUGAAAAUCACCUGCUGUCAGAUUCUCUGGUGGUAUAAAUCAGCAGACAUCUAUUGAUUUCAGUGGAGCUGCAGGAUGCUGAUUUGUACCAGCUGAGGAUCUGGCCCCUGAAUUUUUGUGAGUUCAGGUUCUGCAGACAGAUGAGUAUGAUCUGACAACACUGUAUUGCAACUCAUAUACUGUCACAUCAUGCCCAGAGAGUCCUGUGCUUUGGGAUCCCAUUCCGAAAGAGGGGGAGAAGCUUGGAUUCUGGUUAUGAUUCUUUACGCUCCAUUUACAACAGCCAAGAGGAAUUUGAGUAGGAAGGAAAAUAUCGAUGAAAAUGAAAUUUUGACAAAUAUUGGAAAUGAAAUUCAGAGAAAAUUCUCAUGCUGUUUCACCCAUCAACCAACAGUGCAUUUAGUAUAAGGUUAUGAAAGAACAAUACUUUUCAUACAACAGGGGCUUCUUUAAAUUGGUCAGCUGCGUGGGACAUUGCUUUCAAGAGUUAAUAUCUUUUGGAUCAGCCUUUUAAAAUAAUGGCUCCUAAUAAGUUCAUUUAUACCUACAGCUUAUUUAUCUCCUUUAAGCAAUUCAAACUGCUGUCAGCAUAGAAAAAAUUACCAGUAAAAGUGAUGAUAGUACAACUUGUUUAACUUUACCCUGUUUCACCUAAUACAAUUCAGAGAGAGAUAGUAUUGAUGAGAUAUUUCUGUUGGUUCAUUAUGCUGAAGCCAUCUUUCUAAGAGGUUGGGAUAAAUGUUCUUUGCUAUUUGAUUAUGCUGCCUAUUGCAUUAUAUAUUUUUUGCAUAAAGUUUUGUUUCAUAUGGGGACUC